GCCCCCGUGGUGGAACCGGUAGACACCGCGACCUUAAAAGUCGCUGCCCACCGGGCGUGCGGGUUCGAGUCCCGCCGGGGGCACCA
rnacentral:tRNA from 2 species